UACGAAGGGGGCGAGCGUUGUUCGGAAUCACUGGGCGUAAAGGGCGCGUAGGCGGCCCUCUUAGUCGCGUGUGAAAGCCCCGGGCUCAACCUGGGAACGGCGCGCGAAACGGGAGGGCUGGAGUUCGGGAGAGGAGAGUGGAAUUCCGCGUGUAGCAGUGAAAUGCGUAGAGAUGCGGAGGAGCACCGAUGGCGAAGGCAGCCCCCUGGGCCAACACUGACGCUCAGGCACGAAAGCGUGGGGAGCAAACAGG
rnacentral:rRNA from 1 species